rnacentral:tRNA from 1 species
GGGGAUGUAGCUCAGUGGGUAGAGUGCUUGCCUUGCAUGCACAAGGCCCUGGGUUCAAUCCCCAGCACCA